rnacentral:rRNA from 1 species
GAUGAACGCUGGCGGCGUGCCUAAUACAUGCAAGUCGAGCGAACAGACGAGGAGCUUGCUCCUCUGACGUUAGCGGCGGACGUGUGAGUAACACGUGGAUACCCUACCUAUAAGACUGGGAUAACUUCGGGAAACCGGAGCUAAUACCGGAUAACAUGUUGAACCGCAUGGUUCAACAGUGAAAGACGGUCUUGCUGUCACUUAUAGAUGGAUCCGCGCCGCAUUAGCUAGUUGGUAAGGUAACGGCUUACCAAGGCAACGAUGCGUAGCCGACCUGAAAGGGUGAUCGGCCACACGGGAACUGAGACACGGUCCAGACUCCUACGGGAGGCAGCAGUAGGGAAUCUUCCGCAAUGGGCGAAAGCCUGACGGAGCAACGCCGCGUGAGUGAAGAAGGUCUUCGGAUCGUAAAACUCUGUUAUUAGGGAAGAACAAAUGUGUAAGUAAAUAUGCACGUAUUGACGGUACCUAAUCAGAAAGCCACGGCUAACUACGUG